UGUGGCUGUAGAACGUCUGCGGGGAGGGGCCUUCUUCCGGUCGGGCCGAGGGGCGGCUGUGUACGUUGAAGGACACCGUCUGCGGAAUUUGUGGCUUUGGCCAGAUUGAAAUCAUGGCAGGUGCAGAAAAUGAUGCCCAAUUCCAGUUCACUGGUAUUAAAAAAUAUUUCAACUCUUACACUCUCACAGGUAGAAUGAACUGUGUACUGGCCACAUAUGGAAGCAUUGCUUUGAUAUUCUUAUACUUCAAGUUAAGGUCUAAAAAAACUCCAGCUGUGAAAGCAACAUAAAUGGUUAAAAUCCUUUCCCAAAGGAUUGUGGUACACCCAGAUGUGUAAGACAGUGUGUCUUUUGCCGCAGCCAAUGUGAUUCUAAACUGUACCUCACCUGUUAAGUUCCCAUGCCUGGAGAAGCUAUUGUCAACUCAUCCUGUGAUAGUCAAUUUGUACAAUAAAUUAUGAACCUGGAAAA